rnacentral:lncRNA from 1 species
GGGAGCUUCUGCCCUCACGGGGCGGCCUCCCGGUUCCGCUGUAGGAAAGCCCUGCCCGACCUCUCCUGGAAGGGCCCUCCAUGGUGAGUUAUGGGCUAAAACUACCCUUCUCGAAAUGCGAACAAUCAGAAGGAUCCUCCCGCCCCCCAUCCUUUACUCCCAAAUAAGCUCCACGGACUUUCUCAAACCCAACCCAUUAAUGUAGAAAAAAAAAAUAGAAUUGGUAUCUGAGCUGCAGAGGUGGGAAAGGUGGACUCCAAGCCCCAGGGAAAGAGCUCCUGUUUAGCCGCCAAGCCCUUCCCCACAGGUGACUGGUGGUUUGAACUGAGGGCAGGGACCAGCUGUCCCCUCCCAUGUCCACACUAGCUGGGGCACACCGUCCUCUGCGUUUUCCUGCCUUGGCUCAACACAUAGGCCUCUCCAAAUCCUCCCAACCCGAACAAUGGAAGGGAAGAAGGAAAGGAGGGGCUGAGGAAGGAAACAGACACUGACCAAAGCCCAGAGGUUGGAAACCAUGGCCACAUAAGACAUGCUGGCUUCUCCUUCGCUUUCCACCAUGAUUGUAAGUUUCCUGAGACCUCCCCAGCCAUGCUUCCUGUAUAGCCUGCAGAACUGUGAGUCAAUUAAACCUCUUUUCUUCAUAAAUUACCCAUUCUCAGGUAUGUCUUUAUAGCAGUGUGAAAACAGACGAAUAUAGGCACCCUCCUAUGUGCCCCUGUGCCCCUAUAAUAC